UCUCUCGUGGCGCAAUUGGCUAGCGCGUUCGACUGUUAUCUCACUGCAGUGCAAUCGAGAGGUUGGUGGUUCGAGCCCACCCGAGAGAG